GAGAGGACAACCAGCAGCAAGGGGGAUGGGUUCAGUUACAGUGGCGAUGAGGGCACUGUUGAGAGACUUGAAAGAACAGGCUGGGGACAGAUGGUCCUGGAGAAGGCCUAUCUCUGUGGUCACUAAGAGUUGACAAUGACGUGAUGGCAUGUAAUCACCAUAAUCAUCUCGUAAGUUCAAAGCAGUUUAUAUCCUUUUUUUUCAUGAGAAUAUACAGAUAAAACAGGGACGCUGGACGGCCAAUACAAGGAAACUAUAAUUAGGAAAAAAGGCAUUUUUAGGAGACCAUCUUUGAAGCAUUUCCAACAGUUUGCUUCAAUAAAAUUGUGCUAAUUUAAGAUGGAUGGUUGGUGAAAUGCUUGCUCUGGAGAGACGUGCCUGGUACGCAUCACACUUGCUGCCAGUUCAUUUCGCCAAGGAUUUGGGCCUGAACUGCUUCCCUCUGUCCGCAAAUGGUUUUUCUGCUGUUUUUCCUUCCCGGCCUGACUUUUAGGCUGAUCUCCCAGGCAAUGAGAGGUUAAUGUGCUUCUUGUAAUUGCUCUAAUUUGCCCUUAGAGAACUUCAAUUUCAUUUUUGACAGCUCCUUUGGGCAUUUGUUAAGGGGUAGCGAUCAGAGUCUGAACAAGCAAGAAAUGGAGGCAACUUUAUAAAUGUCCUGGGGCAGUUUGCUGACAUUCCUCUCUCACGUGCUAUGGCUGUGUCCUGCUCACAUUUCUUUCCCAUCAUAACAUAUCUCAGAGCAAAAAAUAAAGAAGGGUUUACAAUGGACCACAAAGAGGGCACAGGAUGUUUAUGAUAGAGCAGAUACAUGAUAUGGUAUAAUUGUUUCUGCUCCCGGUGAGGACAGAGCUGCUGAGAGGGUUGCUGAUAAGCCGAAGAGAGGCUGGUUAGGGAGACGAAUGUCCUUUGUGUUUUCAGAGCUGGGGAAGCAGCCAUUUCGUUUGUCCUGCAAUGCUGGUGUAACCUGACACCGACAGCAUCUCACACUCAGGGAGACGUUCAACCCACAAUCUCCAUCUUGAGACUGACCGUGAAUGAACCGCAGAACUCCACUCUGAAACGUCUGGCCAAAUUUAAAGGGGGGGGGGAGUGGCUUCUUUCCCAUCCCCAGUUAUUUGUAGCCUCCUGCCUGAUGAAGUGCUCGGAGCCUGGCACGGUCUUGCCUGCCCUUCAGUUAAAUCUAUUUGUCUCCGUAAAGCUAUUGCUCUCCUAUAGAUUUGGGGACUUCCCCCCCAGAGGGCAGAGACUGUGAACGCGUUUGGACGAUUCUGCAUCUACAGGGUGUUUUGUCCUCACCGAAUGACGUGGGCUUCAGACUGGCCACCUCCCCGUGCACAUUCUGUCCACCUUUCCAGCAGCACAGGGGAUCCAGUUCUGUGGAGGAGGGAGAAGGAGGGACUUCGGAAGCCCUCCCGGCGCGGAUCUGCCAGGCGAAGGAGGGUUGGCUCGGUUUAGUGCUGGGUGGCAGAUCCUGAGGAGACACCAGGCUCCAAGCAGGACAGAGGAGUCAAUCAAACAUCCCAGAAGACAAAGGAACUUCUGUACUGCAGCCAAGAAAACCGCCUGCCUGCCUCCAGCAGGUGCACAGCCCUGGAUUUUGGAGAAAAUCCAGGUUUAGCUGCACAGACCACUUUGCAAGAAACCUCCGGGACGUGCGACGAGUCUCUGAGAUGCAAUUGGAAACUCUGCCCCCUGGUGGCUGAUCAUCAAACGACAACCAGAUGGCAGUUCUUUGACCCAAGGAGGAGAAACAACGGUGCUUAAAUUCAGGCCUGUCCUGUGCACCUGAAGGAGGUGAACAGGCCUUAAAUUAGGACUUGUGGCACUGAGGAACAGCCAGACAACGAUGCUUGGUCAGAAUAUGGAACGCUAACGCCUAACUGGCACGCCAAGCAAGGUCCAAAAUGCUUCGUUAAGGAAAUACCAGCUCCAGAGCACAAAGCCGUGUGCAACCUUUAGCCUGGUCCAGAAGUCUUCCUCGGAAAAGAAAGGCAUGGAAAGGCAACUGGCAUCAAACUGAAGGGCGCCUGCAGGAGGGGACCAAAAAAGCCAAGCAGCAACUGUGGUCAAGCCGUUGAAGCCUGUCCUUUUUACUACACAACGCACGUCACUUCUUUGAGCCCCUCCUGCAGACCCCUCGGUGAAAUUGCGUAGCUAAUUUAUCUUCCAAGAAUAAAACCCCAGUUUCUCAUGGCAUCGAGUCAACGUCCUCCAAUGUGGCAACCCUUCCUCGGAAAUAAAAAUUCCAAGUCCCACAAAAUACACAGGUAGUCCACCAGACUGGCCUUGAGCAAAUUCCCAACAUGCAUUAGAGGUCUUCCAGUUUAAGCAAGGACGGGCGCUUGAUGACCGCCCAGGUGACCGGAAAGAAAGGGAAGGAAAAUGCCCCAUUUUCCUGCCCUUCUGCCAUCGCGCCUGCCUUCGGCUACAAGGGAUCACGACCCAGCGCAGCUCCUCGCAAGAUUGACCUAACCAGAGGCUUCUUUCCCAUGCUGGCGAUCGACUGCUUUCCACCCGCAUCCUCGCCCUCUUCUAGGGCGAACCAG